AGAGUUUGAUCCUGGCUCAGGACGAACGCUGGCGGCGUGCUUAACACAUGCAAGUCGAACGGGCCUGUCCCUGGUCUUUUGGUUGGGGGUGGGUUAGUGGCGAACGGGUGAGUAACACGUGAGUAACCUGCCCCUCACUUCUGGAUAACCGCUUGAAAGGGUGGCUAAUACGGGGUGUUCUGGCUGUGCCGCAUGGUGUGGUUGGGAAAGAUUCACUUUUUGGUGUUUUGGUGGGGGAUGGGCUCGCGGCCUAUCAGCUUGUUGGUGGGGUGAUGGCCUGCCAAGGCUUUGACGGGUAGCCGGCCUGAGAGGGUGGGCGGUCACACUGGGACUGAGACACGGCCCAGACUCCUGCGGGAGGCAGCAGUGGGGGAUAUUGCACAAUGGGCGGAAGCCUGAUGCAGCGACGUCGCGUGAGGGAUGGAGGCCUUCGGGUUGUGAACCUCUUUCGCCGGUGAAGAAGGUCCUGCUUUUUGGGUGGGGUUGACGGUAGCCGGGUUAUGAAGCGCCGGCUAACUACGUGCCAGCAGCCGCGGUAAUACGUAGGGCGCGAGCGUUGUCCGGAAUUAUUGGGCGUAAAGGGCUUGUAGGCGGCUGGUCGCGUCUGUCGUGAAAUCCUCUGGCUCAGCUGGGGGCGUGCGGUGGGUACGGGCUGGCUUGAGUGCGGUAGGGGAGGCUGGAACUCCUGGUGUAGCGGUGGAAUGCGCAGAUAUCAGGAGGAACACCGGUGGCGAAGGCGGGUCUCUGGGCCGUUACUGACGCUGAGGAGCGAAAGCGUGGGGAGCGAACAGGAUUAGAUACCCUGGUAGUCCACGCCGUAAACGUUGGGCACUAGGUGUGGGGGGCCUUUUCCGGGUCUUCCGCGCCGUAGCUAACGCAUUAAGUGCCCCGCCUGGGGAGUACGGCCGCAAGGCUAAAACUCAAAGGAAUUGACGGGGGCCCGCACAAGCGGCGGAGCAUGCGGAUUAAUUCGAUGCAACGCGAAGAACCUUA
rnacentral:rRNA from 1 species